rnacentral:rRNA from 1 species
AUUGAACGCUGGCGGCAUGCUUUACACAUGCAAGUCGAACGGUAACAGGCCGCAAGGUGCUGACGAGUGGCGAGCGGGUGAGUAAUGCAUCGGAACGUGCCCAGUCGUGGGGGAUAACUACUCGAAAGAGUAGCUAAUACCGCAUACGAUCUAUGGAUGAAAGCGGGGGACCGUAAGGCCUCGCGCGAUUGGAGCGGCCGAUGUCAGAUUAGGUAGUUGGUGGGGUAAAGGCUCACCAAGCCAACGAUCUGUAGCUGGUCUGAGAGGACGACCAGCCACACUGGGACUGAGACACGGCCCAGACUCCUACGGGAGGCAGCAGUGGGGAAUUUUGGACAAUGGGCGCAAGCCUGAUCCAGCAACGCCGCGUGCAGGAAGAAGGCCUUCGGGUUGUAAACUGCUUUUGUACGGAACGAAACGGCUCUGGUUAAUACCCGGGGCUAAUGACGGUACCGUAAGAAUAAGCACCGGCUAACUACGUG